GGAAAUUAAACCAAAUGGGAUAUCUUUAGUAAUUGCGAAUGAACAAGGAUAUGCUUAGCUUGACAAAUGGAGCUAUUGGCUUUGAAUUGUAUUGUGGAAAUGUAUUACCAACAGAGGUGCAGGUGCCAGCCUAUUGAAAUAAAGCGUCAAUGAGGGUGAGAAUCCUGUUUGUCAUGUGCAGCCCUUUGUGCACGGUGUAUAUUUGCUGAGUCACACUCCUUGGCAUUGGAAUGCAAAGUGGGUGGUAAGUUUCAUGUAAAGGUAAACAUGCAAUUGAGACUGAUAGCACACAAGUACCAUGAGGGAAAUAUGAAAAGGACUUUGAAAAGAGAUUUAAUUGACUUUGUAUUUGCUGAACACAAAGUAAACAGACUUGAUUUGCUUGGUGGGAGUGUUGCACUUGCUUGACAAGAGCUUUGGGCUGUGGGUGUAAUGAUUCUUUCUUUGCAUGCCAGUUUCUAUUUGUACAUCUGAUUACCUUUGCACAUGAAUGAUAAGUCUCCUGUGGGGGGUGGAUUGCAUGUGCAUGUAAUGAUUUGUGUUUUGAUAAAUGUGUCUGGUGUAUGUGUGUGUUCCUGUGCUUGGGGAUGCUUCCUUCCUUGGACUUACAAGCCCUGACACACACAUGCUGGCAAAAUGCUUCUGCUUGACCCG
rnacentral:rRNA from 1 species